GUCUACAGCCAUACCACCCUGAAUGCGCCCGAUCUCAUAUGAUCUUGGAAGCUAAGCAGGGUCGGGCAUGGUUAGUACUUGGAUGGGAGAUCUCAGUGUCUUCUAGUGCGAAAUGGAUA
rnacentral:rRNA from 1 species